UAUAUAUUGGACCUGGAUAUAUUUGUAUAAUUAUUGUAUAAUUAUUUUCCUAGGUAAAACUGGAUUUUCAAUAUAAAAGCCAGAUCAAAGAGGAUGAACGUUCUGUGCUAAUACAACAAACUGUGCAAGGCACUGACAAAAGGGGUCCAUAUGGGGGCAGCACUGACUGCACUAUACACGAACGGGUAAAAACACAACUGCAGCAGGUGUGAUCGGAAAUCAUUUUUAGGCAAGAGUGUGUUUGUAUAGAUAUGACACUUCAUAUAACUCUAUGAACUUUGAAACAACAUUGCAACCAUGCUCCUAAUAUGGAGACUUCUCAUCUGCUGUACAUUUACAACUUGUUUUGCUCAGAAACUGACCAUCUCCCAGACUCCUGAUCUCAUUGUAAAUACAAUUGGCCAGGAGGUUCGGAUGAACUGUGAACAGUUGACGACUAACCAUGACUGGAUGUACUGGUACCAUCAGGAGAAAGGACAGGCUCUGAAACUGGUAGCCAAAAAGCUAAAAGAACAGCCACCUGAUUAUGAGGGGAGCUACAAAAACAUCUACGAGAUGGGAAGUGAGGGAGACAAGCACAGUUCCUUGAAGAUUACGUCUCUGACAGCUCAGACUCAAGGGGUCUACUUCUGUGCCUCCAGUGAUGCACAGUGACUGAAAACAGCCGGAGGGCUUUGAUCUAACCCCAUCUGGCAGUCACAAUGAGACAUUAAUCAUACAGUCCCUACAAAUCACGUAAAGUUGAAGUUCACACAAGUUAUGCCGCGUACACACGAUCGGACAUUCCGACAACAAAACCGUGGAUUUUUUUGACGGAU